AAACUAGAUUAUGAUUAACAAACUAUUUCUUCUGCCUUAUUUUCGGGAGAGGAAUUGUGUAUUCGUCCAGUGAAAACGUUGAUUUUACCCCAAAUUUUUGCUCAUUCAGUGCAAACAUAGAUUCAACAUCCCAGCCGGAACCUGCUUUUGUGCCAAACGUCCUUUUAUCUUUUGUGGCAUCGGAAAAAUAUGGCUUUGGCUUCUUCUUAUUUUGAGAGUAAAUUUGAGAUGUAGAUGAAGGUUGCCCUCUUCUCUCAUUAGCAUUAAAUUUAACUCUUACGAACAAAGGAAGGCUAGAUAAGGGUGGCCCCCCAAGGUCCGCAUUCUGUAGUCUUCUAAUCACUGCUGGGUUUAGAUUCUUUGGCAAAUUUGGAAUUAUUCCGCCAGGAUUACUUGGAUUAUAAAGCGGUAUUCUCUUUAAAACUUCAAUCCAGCCACGUAAAUUACGCGUGAAAUGUGAAACUCUAAAAAAUUGAUUCGAGUCCGGCUUCUCAAUAAUUGAUUCCAAGUUUUCAUGAACUUUUUCGCUACUCCCGAUCAAAUCUUCGUCUUCACUAUUAUGAAUAUCUUGCCUAUCAAUACAAGAAAUAUAAUCAUUCGAGAUGCAAUUUAGAUUUCCAUCAGCAUGCGAAAAAUUGUCAGAAUUCUUGGGUUUUCUAUGUCUAAGUGAUUGAUUAGCAUGCCAGUUUGGGAGUGACGUAAAACUAAACCAUCUUAUUUCUGAAAUUUCCUUUCUUUUUUUUGGUUCUAAUGGAG
rnacentral:antisense_RNA from 1 species